rnacentral:rRNA from 1 species
AGCGGCGGACGGGUGAGUAACACGUGGGUAACCUGCCCAAGAGACUGGGAUAACACCUGGAAACAGACGCUAAUACCGGAUAACAACACUAGACGCAUGUCUAGAGUUUGAAAGAUGGUUCUGCUAUCACUCUUGGAUGGACCUGCGGUGCAUUAGCUAGUUGGUAAGGUAACGGCUUACCAAGGCAAUGAUGCAUAGCCGAGUUGAGAGACUGAUCGGCCACAUUGGGACUGAGACACGGCCCAAACUCCUACGGGAGGCAGCAGUAGGGAAUCUUCCACAAUGGACGAAAGUCUGAUGGAGCAACGCCGCGUGAGUGAAGAAGGGUUUUGGCUCGUAAAGCUCUGUUGGUAGUGAAGAAAGAUAGAGGUAGUAACUGGCCUUUAUUUGACGGUAAUUACUUAGAAAGUCACGGCUAACUACGUGCCAGCAGCCGCGGUAAUACGUAGGUGGCAAGCGUUGUCCGGAUUUAUUGGGCGUAAGGCGAGUGCAGGCGGUUCAAUAAGUCUGAUGUGAAAGCCUUCGGCUCAACCGGAGAAUUGCAUCAGAAACUGUUGAACUUGAGUGCAGAAGAGGAGAGUGGAACUCCAUGUGUAGCGGUGGAAUGCGUAGAUAUAUGGAAGAACACCAGUGGCGAAGGCGGCUCUCCGGUCUGCAACUGACGCUGAGGCUCGAAAGCAUAGGUAGCGAACAGGAUUAGAUACCCUGGUAGUCCAUGCCGUAAACGAUGAGUGCUAGGUGU